GUUCACAGAUUCUGGCUGAUGAUGUCAUGACACAGAAGAAAAUGCAAAACAGGCAGCCUUACAUCAGCUUCCUGGUGAGCAUCACACUUGUGGCUGAGGUCUGAGACCAGCUGCGUUUUGGCCAUGGCUUUGCAGAGCGUUCUGGAAGCACUGUGGCUGGAGCUCCUCCUCAGCUCUCUCUGGAAUGUUGCAGAGAGCAAGGACCGAGUAUUUCAGCCUUCCACUGUGGUCUCUUCGGAGGGUGCUCUGGCAGAAAUCUCCUGUAAUCACUCUAUAUCCAAUGCUUACAACUUCUUCUGGUACCUUCACUUCCCAGGAUGUGCACCAAGACUCCUUGUUAAGGGCUCAAGGCCUUCUCAGCAGGGACGGUACAACAUGACAUAUGAGCGGUUCUCUUCAUCACUGCUUAUCCUCCAGGUGCAGAUGGCAGAUGCAGCCAUUUACUACUGUGCUCUGGAAGACACAGAGGCAGGAAAUCCAUGAAGAGCUGAACAGAAACAAGGAGAGAUCACAGCCUUUGCAGGGGGUGGAAAAAAGAUGAGCAAUAACUGUUCACCCCACUACCCCCAAUUCAACGUUCUCCAAGCUUUUCCAUUUGGCACUAUCAGAAAAAACAUUUGAGUCCAGACACACUAUAUAUUAGUAAAGGUACAUAGGGAAAUAUGUUUUUAAGGAGUGUUUCAUUAAUGGUCUGUAAAUCUACGUUUUAAAUAGUUUACUUUUUAAAAAAAUAAAU